GUAAAUUACUACAACAUAGUGUUAAUGUAUGGGAUCCCACUAGAACUAUGUAGUUAAGCAAGAUUGGGCUAGAGUAGUGCUAGGAUGGGUGACCUCCCGUGAAGUCCUAGUGUUUUACA
rnacentral:rRNA from 1 species